GUUUGCUUCAUGUCUGUUGUGGUUCAAUGACGACAUUUUGAAAGCUUAAAAACUCCAGCUCUAAGUAUUUUUUGAGCAAGAAUUUUAGUCAAAUAUUCUAUUUUCAUAAUUUUUUUUAUUCUCAGAUACGGCACAAAAGCAGUUGCACCCUGCUGUGAUGUUAUGUUCUAGCAAUUUUAAUAUUUAGAACAAAUAAUUUGGAACAUUCUUGCAGGCAUAUUGAUUCUCUCUUGUCUAAUAUUGGUGUGUUUCACUAAUCACUAUCGUGCAGCAGAUUGUGGGCAACCUGAAGUGAUAUCAGAGUGAGAAAAUCAUGUCAAAUCUUAUUUCUGUUUAAUCAAUGUUAUUCGAGAGUCAGGACGGAUUAUUAUUAAUUGGCCGAUUUGCUCGUUGAAUUAGGAUUGUGAUAUAAAUCCAGUUAUAAAUAAAAGUACAGUUACCCCGGCCCUAGAUCUGGGAUUUCCUCUUUCUUGUAAAACUCCCCUGACACCAGAAAACCUCUGUAGAUCCGGGAUAGAGUGCAAUUUGAUGUUUUGUUCAAAAUAUUUUUACAACUCCAAGGUAUAUGUUUUACAUAUACACCCUGCUAGUUCCAAGGUAUAAGACGAUAAAUAUACGGUAUAUAGAUAAAUAUACGAUAAAUAUACGACAAAUAUACGAUAAAUACAGGGCGUAUAAACAAAACUGAACAGAUAUGAAUUUGCUCUCAAUUUCGCAAAACAGCUAUUAGUAUCCAGUUUUUGUUAUAUAUAGCUUCUUUGGGUACUUAUAAUGUAGAAUAAUGAAAAAAAUUUCUCGAACUCAAAUUUCUCGAACUCACACCAGGAGGUGUGUCUUUUCCAACAAACUGAAAAUGGCUUGCGCACGAAAUUUAAAAGCUUUAAUCAUAUUUUGAGUUAAUAGAUGGAACAUUUGUUGGGUUUUUAAUUACUGUACAAAAUUUCAGACAAUUUGCUUUAGUUUAAGCCCUUAAACUAUUCACGCAAACUUACAUUUUAUCCUAAAUAUCAGCGAUUUGCAUGCUUAAUUAAUGCCUUUGCCUAAUUUGCAUAUGUCAGCAAUAUGCAAAUUACGUAAAGGCAUUAAUUAAGCAUGCGAAAUGCUGAUUUUUUAGGAAAAAUGAAUAGCUAAAGGGGCUUAAACUAAAGCAAAUUGU